rnacentral:lncRNA from 1 species
AUGGGAAAGAUUGACUCACGAGAGAUUGGAGAGGUAGAUUCACACAGUGAUAGUGCAAGCAGCUUGCUUCUAAUUAAAUAUGCGACUGAGUCUCAAUGCAUUUGCUUUCAGCCGCAGAGAGAAGAAGCUGCCCAAGAAUGGAAAGGAAGAAAUAUAUCACAUCAUCUGUCUGUCCACAGGCUUUCCUUGGGGCUUAUGAAGAUUUCCUCGUGGUAGUGAUUCUUCUUCACUCUCUUGUGUUCAAAAGGAUGGCAUAGACAGCUUAAAAUAAAAGAAAAUCUCACAGCACUUCGCCACCUCAAGAGGUAGUGUAUGUGUGGCUGGGGAUAUGGCUCAGUGGCACAAGCACCUGCCUGGAAAGUGCAAGGUCCUGAGUUUGAUUCCUGGUACCAAGAAAAAAAAAGAGGUAGUGUAUGUAAUGGGGAUGCAUAUUAGAUUGGAUAUCAAGAUAGUACUCAGCAAUCUGAGUGAGAUUUGACCAUCUGCAAAAAGGAUAUUUUUAAAAGAGAAAAUAGAAAUAAAGGAACUAAAAUGGCUUUAGUUGAAGUUGAAAGUCAACAUUUUAG